UCGGAUAUGGUGUAACGGCCAACAUUGCCGCCUCUCAUGAGAAUGAACGCGGCAGCUCGGGGUUCGAUUCCCCGUAUCCGAA